GCCAAGGUUUUGUUGGAAUACACACGGCUCCUCCUUUCCACCAGCUGCCUAAGAACUUCACCUCAGCGGAGGGGAGUUGUACCUUUUCUGCCUGAACCUGAAGUUCUCAACUUUCCAGUGCUGGGAGUCACACGGGGAUAUUUCCACGAGUGUGCGUCUCGACGAGGCACAAAUUCGUACACAGUUGGGUGACCUCUUCUUCGUGAUCUCCGUUUUGCAAGCUCAGCAACCUCGUUAUCCGUCCUGCCCAGAUGGUCCCAGGCUUGUUGGCAUAUCGGGC